UGGCAGCCUAGGUAGCAACAUUGCCUGACUGAGUUGCAAUAGGAGUAUCUUGGAGCUUUGGGAAUCUUCACUCUUCCAUCUCUAGCUUUCUGUUUGGAAGCCCACAAGAAUUCCUUGCUCAUGGCAUCUCAUGAGCUGGCCUACAAAGAUUGGUCUGGUCUCCAGCCAAUGACAGCACCUCUGCUUGCGGUCCUAGGAGUUUGUGGUCACUCCUGUUUGUGGUCAUGCAAAAAUGUGAGCUCCUUCAGGAAAAAGGAGGGGGUUAUUGUUUAAAUUAUAGACUCUGUGCCAACAUCAGUAAAAAGAUGAUUUUGUCA